rnacentral:rRNA from 1 species
UUCGGGAACUCUGACACAGGUGCUGCAUGGCUGUCGUCAGCUCGUGUCGUGAGACUGUUGGGUUAAGUCCCGUAACGAGCGCAACCCUUGCCUUAGUUACCAGCACGUUAUGGUGGGCACUCUAAGGAGACUGCCGGUGACAAACCGGAGGAAGUGGGGAUGACGUCAAGUCAUCAUGGCCCUUACGGCCUGGGCUACACACGUGCUACAAUGGUCGGUACAAAGGGUUGCCAAGCCGCGAGGUGGAGCUAAUCCCAUAAAACCGAUCGUAGUCCGGAUCGCAGUCUGCAACUCGACUGCGUGAAGUCGGAAUCGCUAGUAAUCGUGAAUCAGAAUGUCACGGUGAAUACGUUCCCGGGCCUU